UGCUGCCAGAGCUUCCGUCUACCAGCACUGCUUGGGAAGCACACAGUCAGCAUGCACCUGAGCCUCAGUACGAGCCAAUAGAGCUUGACCUACAUCACUUGGAGUGCUCAAAUUCCAACGAACAAUGUCGUGAGGAUGCUGCCGAGGGGCUGAAAGAAAUCCAUGAGGAGGAGUGGCGCUACUACUCCUUGGCUGCUGACAACCCUUAUUAUCUUAUUAUCUUCAACAGGUGCUGGCAGAAAUGAAUAAAGUGCACAAGGGCCCUCAA